UACAGAGGGUGCGAGCGUUGUCCGGAAUCACUGGGCGUAAAGGGCGCGUAGGCGGCCUGAUAAGUAGGGGGUGAAAUCCUGUGGCUUAACUGCAGGGCUGCCUCCUAGACUGUUAGGCUCGAGCACGGUAGAGGCAGAUGGAAUUCCCGGUGUAGCGGUGGAAUGCGUAGAGAUCGGGAAGAACAUCGGUGGCGAAGGCGGUCUGCUGGGCCGUUGCUGACGCUGAGGAGCGAAAGCCAGGGGAGCAAACGGG
rnacentral:rRNA from 1 species